rnacentral:rRNA from 1 species
AGUGAACGCUGGCGGUAGGCCUAACACAUGCAAGUCGAACGGCAGCACAGGAGAGCUUGCUCUCUGGGUGGCGAGUGGCGGACGGGUGAGGAAUACAUCGGAAUCUACUCUGUCGUGGGGGAUAACGUAGGGAAACUUACGCUAAUACCGCAUACGACCUACGGGUGAAAGCAGGGGAUCCUCGGACCUUGCGCGAUUGAAUGAGCCGAUGUCGGAUUAGCUAGUUGGCGGGGUAAAGGCCCACCAAGGCGACGAUCCGUAGCUGGUCUGAGAGGAUGAUCAGCCACACUGGAACUGAGACACGGUCCAGACUCCUACGGGAGGCAGCAGUGGGGAAUAUUGGACAAUGGGCGCAAGCCUGAUCCAGCCAUACCGCGCGGGUGAAGAAGGCCUUCGGGUUGUAAAGCCCUUUUGUUGGGAAAGAAAUCCAGCUGGUUAAUACCCGGUUGGGAUGACGGUACCCAAAGAAUAAGCACCGGCUAACUUCGUGCCAGCCGCCGCCGUAA